UAUUAGGCCACCUCUAUGUUAUCAAUGCUUCCGGUCUUCAAGCAAAAAAAAACGUUUCGUCUAUUUUGCUUUCUUUAACUGAAAGAUUUCUCUGAUAUCUAAACACAAAAUGAAUUCCUUCUCCAAUAUCUCUUAUUCUUCGUCCACGAAAAACAGAAUCUGGGAUCAAUUGAAAAUACUCCAUUUGAUAAGGGAUGAAGUUAAGAUAACUAACAACAUGAUUUUUCAUGAUUGAAGUCAAGCAUCCCCGUGCAUUUCUGCAUAACAUAUUUGGAGACUUCGAGAUACAUUAUAGAAAUUUGUAACUGACCUAAUCUGUGGGCAGGUUUUGGAAGCAUGCCCACCAUCUCUUUGCUAUUUGCUUUGAUACGGCUUCAUGCAAUUAUAAGGAAUAAAUUGAGGUAGAAACAUUUCGAUUUGUGUGAUAUGUUCAAUUUGCAGAGAGCCACGAAACCUAAAGAAUCAAACCGUAAAGAACAGUAUAAGUUGAUUAUAUCGUUAUUAAUCAACUAAAGUAAGUGGCAGUAAUAAGUAACCGGAGACGAUGAAGGAGUUGACCGCCUCUCUGGAUUAAAGUUUCUCAAGGAGUUCAGAUGUUAUCCAUAGAUUUCAUAAACAAAAUAGCUUGACAUCUUAUCUUUCACCUGUAAGUUAUAGACAUGCAGUUCUUUCUUUUACCAACCUCACCAAGAUUUUUGGAACCACAAGAACACCGUACUUAUGCGUGAUUGAAGGUCUUAUACUUUUUCAUGAUUUUACAAUACAUCCGACCUUUAUGUCUUUGCAUGUUACUCAUGCUUUAACCAAAAUAGGUUAAGUUUGGAAAUCUAUCUUUUAUGGUUAACUUCCAGGGGCAUGAUUUGUAUUACAAAAAAUUACUUUGUCAAAUACCGCAGUCGAUAACUUCGCUGAAUACUCGCCAGUAAAUUUAAUGAUCUACUCAGGGUGAGUAACACUGUGAAUGUAUGAUUGCAUGUACAUUUUAAGCACUUGCUUAUUCCACCGUUUUUGUGCUACAGUUGCAGUUACUGAAUGCUAAGGGAUGUUUCUCCAACAAUAGUUGGGAGCAUGCCUAGGGGACUGAGUGUCGGGCCUUGGGCAGCAAUGAUAAGUCUAGGCCGAGAAGGAUACAAUGGAACUGUCUAAACAAAGACAAAUAAGGGAUAAAGGAGAACCUUGAGCUAUUUAUCGUUGGAGGGUCAGACAUGACGAUUGUUGCAUUCGACUAAGAAUUUAGACAUAAUCAUAUAAUGUCCUCCGAAGGCCGGCAUUUGAAAUCACUACAGAAAGCUAACAUGUAAGGGUUAUAUUUUAAGUAGAUGUAUGAUAAUAAAUGUAGAAUCAAUUUGACAUCUUUUACAAUUUGACGUUAGAGUUUAGAGGGUCUAUGACAUAUGAUCUCAACCAUAUAUAUGAUAUAAACUAUUUGUGAAUGAAUCCUCCAAUUCAUUUUCAUCUGAUAUAUGUUGUUUACUAGAUCAUUCACUAAGCUGAGGCAAACCUUUAUUAUUUAUGCAUUUGAUGGAUACUCCGUAUAUAUAUAAUCUGUUCAACCAUUUAAAGCAGCAAGGAUUUUGGUUUAAAUUUAUGUUUUUGAAUCUGGGUUUUAUUAGUAUGCUCAAAUUUUGUGUUCUGGAAUCUGGGUGAUAAAAAAAAGGCAUCAGCUUCAUGAACUUUAUGAUGUGGUUUUAAAUUUAGUAGUGUGUAUAUUAGAUUGGUGCUAAAAAGGAGACAUUUCCUUCCCUUUAUUUCACUAUAUUACAAGGUUUGUUUUCCUAAGGUCCGACUUUUAUAUGCUCCUCUACUUUUAUGAUUUCUGAUUUUUCACAUCUGUCAUAAGUUUUGUUCAGUGUCAAGAAUCUUCUGUUAGACUUUUUUAUGGUUUAGCAGCAAAUCAUGUUUACUUUAACAAAACCGGAUUAGCCUAAUCUUAAUCAAGUGUGUGUGUUAGGUUUAGAUCAUGUACCAAAGGUAAAACUUUCUGUUUUGUGGGAUGUGCACAUAAGGCCAAAGUACAUCAAGUUAAUCCAUAAAGUGGGCAUAUUAGUUUAUUAAAUUCAGUUAAGAGAUGUGUCCCCACCUCAUGAUGGCUGAGUGUGUGACACAUGUCUAAGUUAGUUGGAGGUGGACUCCCUUCUAGCCUUACUUAAAGUUUAUAUCUGCCAUUAGAAAAGGUAAGGGUGAUAGAAGUGGAUGAAGAACUUCCAAGAAAAGAUCUUAGCAUAGAGUCUUCUGUUGUAAGUGAUUAUCCAUAGAGAAACAACAAUCUAAGAUGAACAAGAACUUAGUCUAAGGUAUCAGCAAGCUAUUCUCUCCUACUGUUUCUCAAGGAACUAAAGGUAUCUUCUGAUGACUAUUGUUUGGUCUUCAAUAAGGUAAAGACAGGUAUACCUAAACUCUAGUAUUUCUUGUUUAUCAUGUACUGAUUGUAUAUCCUAAUCUUAAGUAUGCAGCAUGAUGGAGUAUGAAGUAGUUGUACUUAAACAUGAUUAGGUUUAAGCAUAAAGCAUGUUCUCUGUGUUCAUAUCAUGUCAAAGUUUUCAGAUGUAUAACAUGUAGUCCUAGGUGUAAAGUAAGGUGUCCAUAUCAGCAUACGUGUAACCUGUAAUCCUAAUUUGGUUAACCAUGCUUAGUAACUAAUAAAGCGUAUCAAAAGCAUGAUUAGAGGCUGAUAUUCUAACAUUGGUAACAGAGCCCAUAGGUUUAAUAGUGUUUUACAUCUGAUUAUGACAUAGUCGGCGUGUUUAACAUGAAAUUUUUCAGCACCUCAUAUGUUGUCAUGGUAUAUUGAUUCCAAAUCUGCUAGUGCCAUGUAUAGGUGUUUUGUUUCUUAUAUCAUUGGCCUGAAAUGAAGUUGAAAGUGUUCAAAGGCCGCAGUCUUAUAUAUCUUUUGUUAUUUGAUAAGUGUUGCCAAAGUGAUACUUUGAUAGGAUACAAAAGUGCAUAUUUCUGUAUGAUAGGGACUGCAUAAAGUUGCUUUUUGGAUCACAUUCUGUAUGCCUAAACCCAAAGGUUAAUCAUACAGAUGCUAUCCUUAAUGGACAAGAUGAUUUGUUCAUAUCUAGUAAGUGAUAUUUCUAAUGAACCCAAAGGUUUAACAGAUCCGUUACUUACUUUAUAUGAGUAGGUCAGUCUUGAACUUCAAUUUCAGGGGAUUUCGAUAUGUUUUAACUUUACCCAAAGGUGAAGUGACGGUAAUAUCGAGUCUUUGUAAAGUUUAUGCUUUCCAUAAGGUCUAAGGCAGUUAAAAUGAAUACAGUUUUCAGUCAAGUUUGAAUCUUUCACAAGUUCAGUAACUUUGGGUGGUAUUAAGACUUGAGUGGCUCAAGUUCAAGUGAGUAAUGCAAAUAAAAUGUUCAUGGAGAUGUACCUAAUGCUGUCCAAGGAGGGUUUCCUGUUGAAGAGAAGAUUAAGGAGAUGAUGGAGGUUGUCCACUUGCAAGUUACAGAUCCUGUGUUGCCGUGCGAAGCUUACAACAGUUGAAAUGAUGGUUGUUCAGCUUGCAAUGAAGUGAGAUAGCAGAAAGCAAUCAAGACAAUCACUGCCCAAUUCACUUCCAGUCCCUCCUGAACUUUGUCGGCAGCUGCAGCAUCACGACGACGGAGGGUCAUGAGUCAUCAUCAAAGGUAAUUCUACUGAAUUGUACCAAGUUUUUGGUAUAACAACAGAAAAAUGGUGUGGUUAUCGGACAAGCACAGAAAACAAGAAGUAUGGCCAGCUUUGCCAAGUUUUACAAGAAUCAAUCCCAGGUACAAAUGGCGACAAUCGAACAUCUUUUGGACACUUCAAAGAGUAUAACCAUGCUAAGUUUAAAGCUUCAGGAAGUCAAUGGGGAGUUGGAUCAUAUCUUCUUUAAUACCUUGAAGUUUGAUGGUAAUCAAAGUCUAUGUUACACUCCUAUGACAUCUGUAAGUGUUAUUAUGUUUCCCGUCUCUGAGAUUUCGACAUCUGUAAGUAUCAUUUCUCUUUUACCUUGUGUGUUUCUACUUGUGAAUAUGGUAAUGUAAGCAUGUUUCAGUUUACAGAUAAGCUUAUAAGGUUGUGUGUAGGUCUCACACUAAUGAUGUAACUCUAAUAUAUGGUUGUUUUGUACAGUCUAGUGGGAGUAAAGUUCCCGUUUUUUUGUGUAA